CCUGCAAAACACUAGUUAUCAUUGUGAAGUCUGAAGUUAAGCAACAUUGAGCCUUGUCAGUGCCUAGAUGGGUGACCGCUUGGGAAUACCAGGUGCUGCAAG